rnacentral:rRNA from 1 species
UACGUAGGGACCAAGCGUUGUUCGGAUUUACUGGGCGUAAAGGGCGCGUAGGCGGUGUUGUAAGUCAGUUGUGAAAUCUCCGGGCUUAACUCGGAAAGGUCAACUGAUACUGUGCGACUAGAGUGCAGAAGGGGCAACUGGAAUUCUCGGUGUAGCGGUGAAAUGCGUAGAUAUCGAGAGGAACACCUGCGGCGAAGGCGGGUUGCUGGGCUGACACUGACGCUGAUGCGCGAAAGCCAGGGGAGCGAACGGG